UGCAGAAUUUCUCGUCAGUGCAUGCUAUUACCACUGCAUUGCAAUCAAAUAGUGUGUUCAAUUUGAAGAAGACUUGGGCAGCUGUGUCAAAGAGCAGUAAGAUAACAUUUGAAGACCUUUCAAACAAUGAAGAAGAUAACUUUAUAGCAAGUAGAGAGCUGCUAAUGGAGGAUAUCGUUCAGGGAAUUGUGCCGUACCUGGGAACUUGCUUAACAGAAUUUUCAGCGCUGGAUUCGGCUUUCCCGAAUUACCAUUCAAAUGGCUUGAUCAACUUUGACAAGAGACAAAAAGUUAGGACUGAAAAUUGCACUGUGCAAAAUGUUUGGAAUUGUAUGAAAGGGGAGAAGCAUGCCUUUCAAUCUUGUGCUGCUUUAUUUUCUUGAUGGGGGUGUAGCGGGGGUCUACAACUGCAUCCUAAAUGUAUAUGGUCACUAAUAAAUCCAAUAAAGAAUUCAGGAGAUGCUUUGUUGCUCAGAGCAGCCAGAUUGCAGAAGCUGCUGCUACCAGGACUCAUUGAGAGGAUGAGCACAGAUGUAUUUGAGAGAAAGUUAGAUGUCAGAAAGGACACAAAGAGGCAUAUUUAGAGUUUGAAGCAAGGUGGGAGAGGUGUAAAGAUCAGCAUGGAGCAGUUCAGCCAAAUGUCCUGUUUUUGCGCUGCUAAUGUGCUGCAAUUUGCCUUUGAGCAGUCACAGCCACGUACAGGAUAUGCCAGGUGUUAUGUGAAUGAGGAUGUUGUUCAAUUAAUCUCAGUGUCAUGGAAGCUAUUUCAUUAUUGAAGACACUGGGUAAACAAUCUCUCCAUAUUAGUCAGUAUUUUCCUUUAGAUGUGAGGCAUCAUUUCGUCAUGGGAUGUCAGAAAUUGAGGGAGUACAACUGUUUGGAUUCUCACUGACUGGGCACUAUUUUUUACUCCAUAUUUCUGAAUUUGGUAAUACCAAAUUCUCAAACAUCCCUGUUGUCACGGCUACUGUUGAGGGUAUCAUCAAAUCCCUAUAGUGUGGAAACAGGCCAUGCGGCCCAACAAGUUCAUAGGGCCACUCUGAAGAGGGUCCCACCCAGACCCAUUCCCCAUGUCUAACUCACUGAACCCCAAAAUAUCCCUGGGCACUACGGGCAAUUUAGCAUGGGCAAUCCACCUAUCUUGCACAUCUUUGGACCUUGGGAGGAAACCAGAGCACCCAGAGGAAACCCACUCAGAUUAUAUUUUCAUCUUGUACUGCAACAUUCAGCAGGCAACCUGAGAAUAUUAAUUUGAGUGGAAUUUGACCUUAUGGCAAACAAUGAAUUAUUGCUUACAGAGCUGUAACUUGAGGUCCCUAUGAAUAGAAUAAGUUCCGAUCAGGAGCAGCUGAUGCUGAAUUUGCCAAACUGGGCCAUGUGAUGUAAAAUCAGCUGGGUGGCAAAGUAGGCAUCCAAAGCUGUGUGACUCCAAUUCACCAGCUCGGAAUGUAAUCUGUCAAAUGGCCCGCCAUUUGUAGUGGCUGAUGUGGAUGUAGUGAAGUGUUUCUUUUCACUGACCUGUUGAAAACUGGCACGCACUUUACAAGUUGGCAGUAACAUGUUGUCAGAGUUUGACUUAGA